CGCCUUUGCGAAUCAAAUGCCCUCAGUCUCUCACCACUCACCAACCCUAGCUUCUUCAAGAAUUCAGAACCCAAACCAAAAACCUAGCCUCUUCAAUGGAUUCGACGCCGCCGCUUGUCGUUGUAGGUGCCUCCGCAGCCUCCUCCUCCCCCCUGUUCCAAACCAAAUCCCUAGAUCGGCACGUCGACAUCGCGUCCUCUUCUAGUUUCGUUGUUCGAGGCUUCGAGUUCGAGAUGCUUGCCGUGGUGUCGCCGCGUCAUCUUGCUCUCAAUUGAAGUUAUUGAUUUGAAGGUUAGGGUGAUUAUUUGUUCUGGAACUGAGUCUGUUGUUUCAGUGCCUGAUGGGAAAGUAAGUUCUCCCCAUCCUCCAUUGGAUUCGUCCUGCUCGUCGCCCUCUCGAUGAAUCUCCCCGAAAUUCUUUGCUGAGAACAAGAACAUUGCAGGAUUUGAUAAUGUAGGAGUGGCGUGUCUGAUUUUUAUGUUUCUAUUAAUUUUGUGAUUUGUUUGUAUUUAUAUUAUGUGGAUUUCACAUCAGCCAGGAAAAUCUCUUUAUACUACUGUUAGAGAGCUCGUGGAGAACUCGCUUGACUCAGCGCAAUCGAUAUCGGAGCUUCCGGUAGUUGAGAUAACCAUGUGAGUUUGCAUUUGAAAGUACAGUGAACUAGUAAAUGAUUGAUUGUUCCACACUGACAUGGUUGUUGUAGUGAGGAGAUAAAGAAAAGCAAAUUUAAUUCUAU